UAAAGUGAACUUAGGAGAAGUCUGCACUUUUUAGCUUAAAAUGUGGUGUGCGGAGAUUUGCCUGUGUGUAGCUGCAAUUUUUUUUAAAGCUGUAAGCAUUGCAAUACAGGUACUCUAACCAUUUGUUUUCAUGUUCUGUCAUAUUACAUAAGGUGAGAGCUUUUUUAAUUGGUAUUUAGUCUGCCAACAGCUGGGCAGUUAACAAACAAAACUAACACUGAAACACUCUGGUACAUUAGAAGUAAUAUUAGGACCAUUUUUUCUAUAACAACGCUAAUUCUGUAACUGGGAUCCUAUCGUGCAGGAAGAGCAUUCACUGGCUUUCAUUUGCUUUUAGUCCCAUACUGGCUCAAUAAGGUAUCACUCUACUUCCUUUGUUUUGUCCAUUUAACACAUAACAUUUCAUUAGAUAUGUUUAAUUUUUAUUUAGUCAGUGGUGUAAUAACUUAUGUAUUGAUGUUUAUACUGACUGAAAUGCUGGCUUUUGGUUGAAGUUUUUACUUCAAAUGAAAUACAGGGAAUAAUGAGGAACUUUUAUUACUUAAUGCAGAAUCGAGCACUGAAGUGUACUUAAUAUUCUGAUCCUUAACAUGAAAAAUGAAAAGCAUGCAUGAAAUUUCUUUGAAUUUUCUCUGCUUCAGAUGUAAUGUUUUAUUUAUUAGGCUUUAGAUUGUUACCCAAACACUAUCGCAUAUUCAAUUGCUGUAAUGCCGAAAUGCCAUCGCAGUGAUGAGAAACAGGCACAGACCUUUUUCUGGGAACAUUUUUGACCAAAUCUGAAUCUUUCUCUUUCCUUAUUCUUCCAGCAGAGUCUGCAUCUUUAGAAAUGUGCUGUGAGAAGGCCAGGAACAUAAACGCAAUUGGCAGCACGCCCCAGAAUUGGACAGAUAUUCUUUCUUUAGUGAGACCAUGACGUUUUUUUGUCAGUUACAUUAUCUUUCCCUAAGGAUGUAAUGGUAUGCAGGGGAAUAUGCAAACUUGAGAUUUACUAUGCUGUAAAUCCUCUGCUGUGUGCUCUCCUAAGGACAAAUAACAGGCACACUCGAGCUGCAAAAAUGAAUACAUUUAGGCAGAAAUUGACAACAGAGGGAUUUGUAGUGACAGGUAUUUAAAGUGCUGAGAUAGUCUUGUAGUGAAGCACUGCACUGGAGCAGUUGAGGAGCCUCUCUUUUAAAGGAGUUGCUGUGAGCAUGUUUCUAAGUACUAGGCACAGAGAGACAAAUUACAGCUCGAAUGGUAGGACAUCCUCUAAUAGAUGGCAACAUGUGAACUGAUAUCUAGAAAAGAGAGAAAUAAUUGUAAUCAUUAAUUGCUCCAGGCACGGCCUGCCCUUCUUUAAAGCAUGUGGAAGUUCCAUGUGAGCUUCUGCAAAAGAGAGGUGAGCAUUUAAGGGAACUGGUGCUAGGUGCCUUGUUGGGCUACCUGUAGGCUUCCCAAGGGAUUGUGCAGCAGUGCUCUGAAAAUAAUUUGUUGCUGACCUUCAGUUAAAAAGUUGCUUUGAUGCUUUGUUGUAUGUUUCAACAGUUACUGUUGCACUGUCUAAAGUUGCUGGCAGCAUAAAAAUAAUUAAAUGGAAAUAUCACUUUGAGGGAGUUAAUAUCCUUGUCAAAACUGAAUGGAAUUUCAUGAUAUAUGGAAAAACAAAACAAAACUGGGAGAGAGGUGAGGUUGGGGAAGAGACUUCUCUUGCUCUGGAUUGUGGGGAAGCACAAAGGCAAAAGAAAAAAAAAAAAGAUGCAGGAAAUUGUAGCUUUUAGUCUAAGAAGAUAUAAAGAAUCUCAUUCAAUGGAAGAUAUUCAUCUAGACAUAAGCGCUAGUGCUGUUGUUUCUCAGAAUAACCUUAUAAACCAAGUUGUUUCCUCAGAUUUUUAAAUCCUUUUCACACUGCAUGAGUGAUACGUGAUUUUCCACGAAAUAUACAGUUUCAGUAACUUAAUCCUUGUGAGUAUUUUCAGUUGGAUUAACAUGGGGAUUACCAAAUCUAAAUUAAUUUAUUUUCGUUUUGAGUCAGAAAUCAGAGAUGGCUGUUGUGUUACAUAACAGUACUUUUAAAAGCUGGGUUUGUUGUUGUUGUCAUUUUCUGCACUUGAGUUUUCCCUUUCCUUCCAUAAAUAAUUUCAACCCAUAAGGGAAGCUCUCUGAUAUUCAGUAUAAAAUUUCAUACUAUUAAUUGUCCGUCCUGUAUUUUUGUAUGCCUUGAUUUUAUUGUGAUGCCUUAGAGGUGUGUGUCAUAUUGCCUUCUGAUUUUAUCAGCACACGGAUUUUGUGAUGUGCCUCGUUACUCUUUCCCUCAAAAAAAGCAUUGCAGAAACAAACCUAGUGAUAUUUGUUAGGUUUACAUCCUACAGUGAUAAGCCUCAUUAAAAGACACAUGCACACAUAUUGAUUCCAGUGUCAAAAUGAAAUUUGAUGGUUCAUAGUAAAUAUCUGAAGAAAAUGAAAAUUGAACAUCUGUUUUGUUCCCCGUGUCUUAGAUGGGAAAGUCAUGCUUGACCAUGUAACUAAAUGUAUUAGAAUGCAUAUUCAGAAAGGGCAAACAAGUACUUAAUACUGACUCUGUUUUCUGCUGACUUUGCUGCUUGUCCUUUUUAUACUAGUAACAAAUGUUCUGCCUUAAUUUUCUUGGCUUUCGUAUUAGAGUAUGUAUUUGAACACAGAACUUCAGCAUUUGUAUUUAAAUAAUUAACUACAGUAAAUGACAGCAGAAACAUGAUUGGCCACUAGAGGAAGCUACAUAAUGACCUGGUUUUGUGGAUAUAUUUGGAUAGUUACAUUUUAUUGAUAGCACGUUGUGAAAAUAUGCCCACAUUUGCAAAAUGUAAGUUUUUUUAACAGCCACAGUAGUUCAGUCCUGCAAGCUUGUUUGCCUCUUGGAAAUGCUGUUUCAGCCAACUAAGCAUGAUUUAGCAUUGAGUUACAGAUCUUUCCACAGUAUUACAGUCGCUGGUAGUAAAAACAGACCUUCUGUAACUUUACACUUCUUUGUUGAGCUUGUAAUUCUGCUUCAGUUGGUGCAGGACUGAGCCCUGGUUUCUCAGCUUAAAUGCAGAUUUUUGAAGCUGGAGGGUAUUCUCAUGGGGAAACGGGUGUUGUGGAAAAUAGAGUCCCUGUUUCUCCCAAUGAAAGACUGCAUAACAUAACAUGUAUGUAUGUCUGCAGGACUGGACACACGUAAUGCUGGUACAUUCCCUAAAACUUAUGGCAGAGAACAGAACCAGAGAAAACACAAAGCUUUCAGAAUUUUUUUUAUUCGUCCAGAUUUUUAUAAGACUGACAAUGAAAAGCUCUGCAUAAAGCUCUUCAAGUUUAACCUGUGCAAGUUUCAUUCUUUCUGCCACAAAAAAGAGGUUAAGGAGCUAAAACAAAAUCUGGUAUUUUAUAGAGAGGCAUAUAAAUCUUGUUUUCAGUUGCUGUGCAGUUUAAAACCAGAAACAGCUAAAUACUUCUAGAAUUUAAAACUUGUUCUUUAAUGAAAGGAACAUUAAUUUACACUCUCUCUGAAGUUCUCUAAAGUUAGUUAAUUUUUUCUUAGUUGUUUUUCUUAGUUACAUAAUUCGUUAUUUUUUUCUUCGUAGCUGUGCCUCGGUUUAUUUGUGCAUUUGGACAGGAUGUGGUCUUAGAAAUGUUAUAUACUGACUGCAGUUCAUGUGCUUGGUGGGAUGUGAGUGCUAUUAUUUAUGGGGUUGGCUUUUUGAAGAAAUUCUGGGAAAAUACCUGGAGUUCAAUGAAUACCAUAAAAACAUAAUGAUCUAUGAGGUAUGUCAUCAUAGAAUGGCCUGGGUUGAAAGGAGCACAAUGCUCAUCCAGUUCCAACCCCCUGCUGUGUGCAGGGUCACCAACCAGCAGCCCAGGCUGCCCAGAGCCACAUCCAGCCUGGCCUUGAAUGCCUGCAGGGAUGGGGCAUCCACAGCCUCCUUGGGCAACCUGUUCCAGUGCCUCACCACCCUCUGGGUGAAAAACUGCCUCCUAAUAUCCAACCUAAACCUCCCCUGUCUCAGUUUAAAACCGUUCUCUCUUGUCCUAUCACUAUCCACCCUCACAAACAGCCAUUCCCCCUCCUGUUUAUACGCUCCCUUCAAGCACUGGAAGGCCACAAUGAGGUCUCCCUGCAGCCUUCUCUUCUCCAAGCUCAACAAGCCCAGUUCCCUCAGCCUUUCCUCACAGCAGAGCUGCUCCAGCCCUCUGCUCAUCUCAGUGCCUCCUCUGGCCCCGCUCCCAGAGCUCCACGUCCUUCCUGUGCUGGGGGCCCCAGGCCUGGACGCAGCGCUGCACAUGGGGCCUCACAAGAGCCGAGCAGAGGGGGACGAUCACCUCCCUCUCCUGCUGGCCGCCCCUUUUUCAUGCAGCCCACAACACAGCUGGCCUUCCGGGCUGCAGGCGCACACUGCUGCCUCAUGGCCAGCUUCUCGUCCACCACGACCCCAAGUCCUUCUGCGCAGGGUUGCUCUCAAGGAGAUCUGCCCCCAGUCUGUAUCAAUACCUGGGGUUGCCCCGACCCAAUGCAGCACCCUGCACUUGGCCUCGUUGAACCUCAUUAGGUUCACAUGGCCACUUCUCCAUCCUGCCCAGGUCCCUCUGGAUGCUUCCCUUCCCUGCAAUGCAUCGACUGCACCGCUCAGCUUGGGGCCAUCUGCAAACUUGCUGAGGCUGCACUCGAUGCCAUCAUCUGUCGUUGAUGAAGAUGCUGAAGAGCACCAGUCCCAAGACUGACCCCUGAGGGACACUGCUUGUGACCGGCCUCCACCUGACACAGAACCAUUGAUCACAGCCCUUUGGCCGCAUCCAGCCAACCAGUUCUUAAUCCUUCAAGCAGCCCAUCCUUCAAAUCCACACCUCUCCAAUUUAGAGAGAAGGAUGUGCUGAGAGACCACGUCAAAGGCUUUGCAGAUGUCCAGGUAGAUGACAUCCACUGCCCUUCCCCCAUCCACUGAUGCCUCACUCCAUCAUAGAAGGCCACCAGAUUGGUCAGGCACGAUCUGCCCUUGGUGAAGCCAUGCUGGCUGUCUCGAAUCACCUCUAUCUCAUCUGUGCCUUAGCAUAGCUUCUAGGAGGAUCUGCUCCAUGAUCUUUCCAGGCACAGAGGUGAGGCUCACUGGCCUGUAGUUCCCCGGGUCAUUCUUUCUACCUUUCUCAAAAAUGGGAGUAAUGUUUCCCUUUUUCCAGUCACUGGGGACUUUACCAGACAGCCAUGAUUUUUCAAAUAUGGUGGAGAGCAGCUCUGCAACCACACCAGCCAUCUCUCUCAAAACCCUGGGGUGGAUCAUCUGGCCCCAUGCACUUACACACAUUUAAUUUCAUGAGGAGGACUUGGACUGUUACAGUGGGACAAAAUCCACUCCCCACACCCUCACCUAGAGGCUCAGGGUCCUGGCAGAUACGGGAAGCCUGACCACCCAUGAAGACUGAGGCAAAGCACUCAUUGAGCACCUCAGCUUUUUCUAUGUCUGAGGAAGCCAGCUCCCCAUUACCUUUCAUCAGAGGGUCAACACUCUCCUUGAUCUGUCUCCUUCUGCCUAUGUACCUGUAGAACCCCUUCUUGUUAUCUUUCACAUCUCUCGCCAAGUUCAGCUCCAUCUGUGCCUUGGCUUUCCUAAUCCUAUCUCUAGACACACAGACAACAGCCCUGUAUUCCUUCCAGGCUACACAACCCUGUUUCCACUUCCUGUACAUUGCCCUCAGUUUAAGCUGCAAGUCCCUGCACAGCCACGUUGGUCGCCAGCUUCCCCUGCUCGACUUCUGCUGGGGGAUGGAGAGCCGUUGUGCUCUCAGAAGGGUGCUUUUAAAGAGCUGCCAGCUCUGUUCUGUACACACACCCUUAAGGACAGUUUCAGGGGAUCCCACUCAACACUUCCUUGAGAAGCCAGAAUUUUGCUCUCCUGAAUUCUGGUUAACGAACUCUUGUGAAGAAUUAUCUAAAGAAUUUACAUGCAGAAUGAGAAAAUAGAUAUGGGUUGUAACAGUUCAUCUUAAUAUCCUGAUGCUGAAUGAUGAAAAGGUAAUCUUUUAUUCACAUGCUGGAUUAUGUGGGGUGAGUGGUUUAGGGCGCUUGGUAUGUUUCAGGCGAGCAAAGCUGGAAGUGACAUGUGGGGCUUUUGAUAGAAUCUGGGAAGCUGAAGUUUAGGAGGGUCAUUUGACUUUCAGCAAAGGCCCUGAUUUUCCCUCCAUGUUUCAUAGAGUACCUCUGGAAACACUAAGUUUAGCCUAAAAUUUGGAUUCCAGCUAAGUUUACUCUGCAGUGAAAAAGAAACUGUCCUAGUUGUAUAGGCACAUGCAUAUUUAUGCUUUUAUACCUUAAGCACGUUGUAGCAGGAUUACUAUUCUUUCAGAGCUUGAAUUUAUGCUGACUUGCUUUAAAAUGAAGCUGUAGUUUAGUUGUUUCAGCCAAAAUAAAAAAAAAAAAUCAACCAAACAAAAAAAACCAAAACACCACCAACCAACCCCCCAAAAAACAUAAAACAAAUUUUUUAAAAAAUCAUUUGUGUUUUGUCAGUGGAGUUUUACUUAGAGAUUCAAGAAAAAAAAGCAGUUGGAAGAUUGGAUGUUUAGCUAGCAUGUGCAACAUCCUGCUUAAAUAAACUGGCUGCUCUGGCAAGUUCCCAAUUCUAGAAAUUAAAUUCAAAAGCUCAUAAGAUUUAGUUUUGUUCUGUUUUUCUUUUCUUUUUAAUAAUGUAAUUGCAGGGGGAAAAGUAUGCUGGAUGAGGGGCAGACAGGUGAAAUAUGUGAGAAUUAUUUUAAUGUCUAAGCUAGUAAAUCUUUUAUGGUGAAAGUCAUUGAGCCACUUAGGAAUGGGAGACACUUGAUAAAAUUUGUGAUGUGGAAAAUGGCUGCUUCUGACUACGUUUAUGUUCUUCCUUAAUUUAGAAAUGAAUUGCCAGCAAUCCAUUUGGGCCUGUUUUAAAACCAUGAAGACAACUUCUAAUGGAAGUGAUCUAUAGGUCACUUUUAUUGAAGUUGAAAAGGCUUUUGUGGGCUGAUUAUUUUGCUCAUCUUUUGUGGUGUUGGGUGUACUUGGUUUGUUAUAUGUGGUACUGUUCAUUCAGACUUUUUGGAUAAACUUACGGUGUUACUGAAAUGAAUUUUUUAAAGUAUUGAUUUUCAUUUUCAAGGCUUUCACAUGGCAGAAUGAGGUCAGGAAAGAUAUUAUGGGUUUUUAAUCUGUUGUCUUCCUUAUGAAAUUGAAGGUCUGUCAAAUGGAGUCUUCCUUGGCCUUGCUGAAAGAAAAAAAGAAAACACGAUGCCAGUCUUCCAUGUGUUAUUGUGUGGUAGGGUAUGUUUUCAUUGUAGGACUGUAUAUCACCAAUGAAUAUUCUUCGUGUAGAUACCUCAUUCAGUGGUAUUUAACUGAAGAUAUCUUGCAAGCUGUGUGGUAUCAUUGCAAAAGUGAUACUGGUGCUAUAUUUGAGAGCAUUUCUUUUGUUUCCCUCCUCCUCACUUGAGCAUCUUGCGAGCUGUUUUACUGGAAAGAAUGGCGUAUUUGAGGGAAAAAAACUGGAAAAGAAAACAAUUUAGAAAUAUAUACAGGAACACAGGUUUUAUCCUUGCCAAUGUAAUAGACCUUUUUAGAAUGGGACAAGUAUUUCCUUUGUGUUUUGACUCUGUUUUGCCCUAUGCUGUUGUAAGAAAAGAAGAACACAGUCUAGAAGAAACUGCCAUAGCAUGAAUCCUAGGCUACUUUGUAAUCUAGAUUGCUUGGGGAGGUGAAACUCUCUGACACUAAAACCUUUCAAACAGGCUACAGAUGAACACCUUGGGAAUGGCAAGGUAAGCCUGGACAUGUUUUCAGUCUUGUGCAUAGGGUACAGACCUCUUGAGAUACCUUACAGGCAUUUCUCUGCAGCACAAGAACAAAAAGCUUAUUGCUCUGUGAUGGACCUUUGUGAGAAACACAGUUCAGCAGCGCAGCUGAAGUCGUACUGGUAAAGUGGGGGAUGAGGGGUUGUCCACUAAGAGAAAAGGGGGGGAAAAAAAAAAAAGGAAAAAAAAAAGAAGUGUUGGGAGGCAGCCCUGAGUCAGAAGGCUGGUGUGCUUGGCUUGUUGUGUGUAAGAGCAUUGCUUCCCUCUUUUCUCUUUGUCGGCUAAGAAUAGAUGUAUUUUGGUUACACAACUAUGAGUUCAGUAUGGGCUUUCAGGUAACAUACAGAGAAGAUAAACAGUCUUUUUCUGUGGGUAUGUGAAUGCAGUAAACUUGAGUACAAGAGCAUCUUAAGCAUCUUAUUUUGCAUAGAUGAAUCUUUUGAUAGUGAUUUUGACAAAUUCUGUUGGAUGUUUUUCAAAGAGACACUGUACAUCCUGAUACAAUUUGACAGUGUGACCUUUUCAUAUGGAACAGUGGGAGCUUUUGCUGAUGAGAUGACACUUUUUUCAAACAAAAAAUAUUGCAGACCCUUUAAAAGAUCUCAGAGAUAUGGAGCAGCUUAUUGGUGGCUUUUAUAUGCACUGCUGCGUCUCAGCACAUAUUAAUACUAUUGGACACAUAUGCUUAGGUUUAUUUUCCAACAUAUAAAAUGAAUGUUUUUUCCAUCCUGCCUUAGCAUGUUGUGUUCCAGGCUUUCCAAAAUAGUUGUAGGUAGCUGUCAUAAUAACAAGCACUUUUUUUUCCCUAUAGCUCUGGAAUAUCUUUAGCAACAUGUCAGUAUAGUUCUGCUGAGUGUGUGAUGUUGUCUACAUGAGAAAUAGUGCAUUUGCAUUGACUUGAAUUCAGUUGUUAUGUAUUCUGAAGCGUUGUGACUUGUUGAUUGAUAUCACGGAUGCAAGUGUUAUGUGGCAUGCUGGUGUAUGGGAGAAGAAUAAUGAUUCUUCCUGACUAGUCCUGGAAAUGUUUACACAUAAAAAUAUUGCUUAUAAUAAUAUAUAAAGUUCUCUUGAAAAUUCCAGAGUAGAAACUAGAAGGGAGAAGAAGGCAGCAGUUCUUUCUUUGUUUCCAAGACUACAAGUGACUGUGGGCUACCUCAGGCUCUUGAGAUUUUCCAGUAUAGCUGUUGGUACCUUUACAGCCUGAUUCUUGAAUAUUAUUCAGUGACUGCUUCCAUUGCAUUCCUUUACAUGCAUGACUUAAAAAAAAAAAAAAAAACAAAAAGAAAAGCUUUUAGAAAUAACCUGGAAGUAGGUCUGGCAAAUGCUUGUGGAGUUCUUAUGGUUAUUGCCACAUUUGUGUAACAGUCAUGGAAAUAUCAGAGAUGUGUAGAAGGAGUAACCCAUCCUCCUGGAGCACGCAUAUUGCAUUGAUGAGGCAUGUAGUGGUUUUCUGACCGUGGAAAUUUGUGAGAUUUUAAAGGAACCUCAAGCGGCCAUUCCACUCUGGAACACAAGUAGGAACGUUAACUUCCAACAUCCCAUUCAGGAGAAAAGCUGUAAAUCUGUGUGAAGGAGCAGAAGAGAGGAAGGAGGCAGCUGCGGUUCUGCAUAAUUCUGAGAGUGGCUUGGGGCUUCCAGAGUUGAAUCAGAAGCAGCACAACUUGACCAUGCUGACUCUUAGCCGAUGCAUGCCACCAGCUCAGAUCUGACAAAGGCAUCCUGUGCUGCCAGAUGUCACUCCUGGCCGGGAGCUGUCUGUUUGCCCUGGAUGGUUUUUUGCUUGCUAUUCCACACACUCUUGUCAGGUUGGCUUCUUUGGUCUGCUCCUUCAUCCAUCCCCGUCUGGAUGUCACUUGCCUGCAUUAAAGACCAUGAAGAGCAUGUUUCUUCACUUUCUCUUUAGGUAUUCAGCACUUCUGGAUCUUCCUUUCCAUAACUGGUUUUGUUUGUCCCUGUGUUAAGAAGGGUGCUUAGGAAAAUGGUUCAGUUCCCAAAAUCUAGGCUUCCUGAGUUCCCUGCAGCUCUGCUAGAUACCUGGGUUUGAGGGAGGAAGAGAUUCCUAGGAGGAGUGCUCAAAAUGUUUUGACCCUUACCCUUUCAGUCUUUAUGACUUAUUUCCCGGUGUGUUUUGCUGAUGUAGCAGUCUAGUGCUGCACGAGUCAUAGAAUCAUUUAAAUUAAAAACCAUGCUGGCCGUGCUGCUCCUGGGCCUUGCGCUUCUGUAUGUGAUGUAGUUACUUUCAUUUGGCUCAGGAGAGAAUGUACACUUCCAUUUACUGCUUAGAAAAUGCCAAGAACUGGUCAGCCUAGGACACAAGAGUGUAGCUCAGCCAAGUGAAUGACGUGUAUUCUGCAAGGAAGUGUAUUGAUGUAUUGUCACAUGAAUGGAAGUAAAUAUCUACUUCACCCUUCUGUGUGGGAGGCUGAUGGGUGUAUGAUCCUGUGCAGAACAGGCAGUCAUAAGCAGCAUAGCGUUGAAUUACAUCAGUACUUUGGGUAGGUGGGUGGGGGAUUUCUAUUCUACUCCUCUUUGUGCACUCACACAUACUCAUGACACAACUAUUGAAAGUCCCAACAAGCAACUACAGAAGAUUUUGGUAAUGUGGUCCAAGUGCAGAUUCCUUCAUACCUCUUGGUUCUUGUGAUGGAGUGGGGGACCUCUGGAAGAUGCUGGCCAUAAUGCAGGCCAAACAAGCAAAGUAGCCAAGGAGGCAGCCAACAGAUGGACUGAUAACAUCUUUGCAAUAAAGUCCUGGGCCAAGCGUAAAUUUGGAUUUGA